rnacentral:rRNA from 1 species
AUUGAACGCUGGCGGCAGGCCUAACACAUGCAAGUCGAGCGGAUGAAGGGAGCUUGCUCCUGGAUUCAGCGGCGGACGGGUGAGUAAUGCCUAGGAAUCUGCCUGGUAGUGGGGGAUAACGUCCGGAAACGGGCGCUAAUACCGCAUACGUCCUGAGGGAGAAAGUGGGGGAUCUUCGGACCGCACGCUAUCAGAUGAGCCUAGGUCGGAUUAGCUAGUUGGUGGGGUAAAGGCCUACCAAGGCGACGAUCCGUAACUGGUCUGAGAGGAUGAUCAGUCACACUGGAACUGAGACACGGUCCAGACUCCUACGGGAGGCAGCAGUGGGGAAUAUUGGACAAUGGGCGAAAGCCUGAUCCAGCCAUGCCGCGUGUGUGAAGAAGGUCUUCGGAUUGUAAAGCCCUUUAAGUUGGGAGGAAGGGCAGUAAGUUAAUACCUUGCUGUUUUGACGUUACCAACAGAAUAAGCACCGGCUAACUUCGUG